rnacentral:rRNA from 1 species
AUUGAACGCUGGCGGCAUGCUUUACACAUGCAAGUCGAACGGCAGCGCGGGCUUCGGCCUGGCGGCGAGUGGCGAACGGGUGAGUAAUGCAUCGGAACGUGCCCAGUAGUGGGGGAUAGCCCGGCGAAAGCCGGAAUAAUACCGCAUACGACCUGAGGGUGAAAGCGGGGGACCGAAAGGCCUCGCGCUAUUGGAGCGGCCGAUGUCGGAUUAGCUAGUUGGUGGGGUAAAGGCUUACCAAGGCGACGAUCCGUAGCUGGUCUGAGAGGACGACCAGCCACACUGGGACUGAGACACGGCCCAGACUCCUACGGGAGGCAGCAGUGGGGAAUUUUGGACAAUGGGGGCAACCCUGAUCCAGCCAUGCCGCGUGCGGGAAGAAGGCCUUCGGGUUGUAAACCGCUUUUGUUCGGGAAGAAAUCCUCUGGGCUAAUACCCCGGGGGGAUGACGGUACCGGAAGAAUAAGCACCGGCUAACUACGUG